GCUGGGCGUGGUGGCGCGUGCCUGUAAUCCCAGCUACUCAGGAGGCUGAGGUGGGAGAAUCCCUUGAACCCGGGAGGCGGGGGUUGCAGUGAGCCAGGAUCACGCCACUGCACUCCAGCCUGGGCAACAGAGCGAGACUCUGCCUCGA
rnacentral:sRNA from 1 species